rnacentral:rRNA from 1 species
AACGAACGCUGGCGGCAUGCCUAACACAUGCAAGUCGAACGAGACCUUCGGGUCUAGUGGCGCACGGGGGCGUAACGCGUGGGAACCUGCCCUUAGGUUCGGAAUAACUCCCCGAAAGGGGUGCUAAUACCGGAUAAUGUCUUCGGACCAAAGAUUUAUCGCCUUUGGAUGGGCCCGCGUUGGCUUAGCUGGUUGGUAGGGUAAAAGCCUACCAAGGCGACGAUCCAUAGCUGGUCUGAGAGGAUGAUCAGCCGCACUGGGACUGAGACACGGCCCCGACUCCUACGGGAGGCAGCAGUGGGGAAUAUUGGACAAUGGGCGAAAGCCUGAUCCCGCAAUGCCGCGUGAGUGAUGAAGGCCUUAGGGUUGUACAGCUCUUUUACCCGGGAUGAUAAUGACAGUACCGGGAGAAUAAGCUCCGGCUAACUCCGUG